rnacentral:tRNA from 1 species
UAUUAAAUAAUUAAUACUUUAUAUACUUUAUUAAUAAUUAACAAAUUAAUAUUAUUUAGUAUUAAAUUUUAAUAUUUAUAUUAAAUACUAAUAUUAAUAUUGUUAAUAUUUUAUAUAUUUAUUAUAUUAUUAGAUUAAUAAAUUAUUAAUUCUUAAUUUAACUUUAUUAAUUAAAAAUUAAAUAUACAAAUAAUAAAUUAAUGUAUAUUUAAUAUAUUUUAAUAU